rnacentral:rRNA from 1 species
UACGGGAGGGGCAAGCGUUAUUCGUAAGUACUGGGCGUAAAGGGUUUUUAGGUGGUAUCUUUUUAGAUACUUUAAUAUAUUGAGUAAGCAAAUCAAGUUAGAAGUAUCUCUAAUGUAUAAAAAGGGGUGAUAUCCACCUGAGAUUAGUAGAGACUAUCAUAAGCGGAGGCGUCUAAACUAUAACUUACUAACACUGACGAACGAAAGCAGGGGGAGCAAACAGG